UUUGAAAAAAAACGUUUACUUUGAAUUUGAAUUUGCAGUUGUAAAGAGUUCUUGAGAAGUUUUGCUAUACAUUGUGUUCAUUGUCAAAAUGUUUAUGAAAAAGUAUAGUUUCCAAUCAACUGUGAUUAAUUUUAAUGAUGAGGAAGAUGAAAGUGACUGGCAAUCAGUUAUGGCGAAAUGCCUUGGCGCCCGACACUUGGCUAUGUUGCCUCAAAUUCCCGACAUCACCAUGUCAGACGCUGGAGAGCCUUCUGGCAUUUUUUCUUCCAUGGAGGACCCAGAAAUUGGACGUGAUAUGGGAAGCAUUUGUCACCCCGCCAACUCGCCAAUUUUACCAAAAACAAUAAUCGAAAGGGUACCUAAUUCUCCAGUUUCUUCUCCCUUUCCUUCACCCUACCCAUCACCUUUCCCUUCGCCAUCCCCAGCUUCCACAGAGAGCUCACCCCAGAAAUCAUCAACGGGUUCACCACAAGUUUCACCUCAACCAUCACCAAGACUUUCGUCUCGAAAGUCACUUAGAGACUCGAUUCAACCCUCAUUCACAGCCUCGCCUCAACCAUCACCACGACUUUCGUCUCGAAAGUCACUUAGAGACUCGAUUCAACCCUCAUUCACAGCUUCGCCUCAACCAACACCAAAACUUUCGUCUCGAAAGUCACUUAGAGACUCGAUUCAACCCUCAUUCACAGCCUCGCCUCAAACAUCACCAAAACUUUCGUCUCGAAAGUCACUUAGAGACUCGAUUCAACCCUCAUUCACAGCCUCGCCUCAAACAUCACCACGACUUUCGAGACGAAAGUCACUUAGAGACUCGAUUCAACCCUCAUUCACAGCCUCGCCUCAACCAUCACCACGACUUUCGUCUCGAAAGUCACUUAGAGACUCGAUUCAACCCUCACCACGAGCCUCGCCUCAACCAUCACCACGAGCUUCGCCUCAACCUUCACCACAAGCUUCGCCUGAGCCAUCACCUCGACGAAAUCUCUCUACAAAAUCUAAUGCUGGUGUGCGACCCAAACGAUUUUUGAAAGGUAAAAGAGUUGAAAGAUGGAGAGGACAGCAUCCUAUUUAUAAACCUCUGGAAAAUGGUUGUUUUGAAGUUUUAGGACUAACUCAUGCGAAGACUCCUGAUGUAAAGAAAAGAAAACUCACAAGAGUUAAAAAAGAGAUGAAGGUAGCCACAAAGGAAAACCGCUGUAACUUAUCCGAAUCUUUUGUGGGUAAAAGUGUUUCAACUCGAUCUAAAAAUGCAGAUCUGAUCAAAUCAUUUGAAAAUCUUCAAUGGAAGAAAAGUAAAGGCAGUGAUUCAAUCGAACUUGCGUCACUUUUCCGAGACAAAACUAAUGGACUCGCUAGUGGUUUUUUCAGAAUGAAUGGUGUUUGUGAAAAACCAUCACAGAAAACAGCUAAUUAUAAAACUAUAUAUACAUUACUGAAAGGAUCGGUAGCCUUUAAAAUUGCUGAUGAGCCCUACAUGGUCUUAAACGAAUUUGAAUCAGUCACUAUCCCUGAGCUAACCGGCUAUGCUAUCAAAAACCUAUCAGAUGAUGAAUCUGUAUUAUAUUUCAAUGUAUACCAACAUUAAUUUCUUGACUAAAGUUGAAUUACCCAGUUAUUCACAUUCAACUUGAAUAUUUCAAAUCAGCUAUAAUUUUUGUUUUAAUCUAAUAACUGGAGAUUUGUUGUGAUCAUGAAAACCAUGAAAUGUCCUUUUCUGAAUCAAUUAUCUUCCUCUUUUCUUUCUUCCUACUCAUCAUUAUUGAUGAAAAACUAUGCUCCUCUGUGCUCGAUUAUGUCCAAAGUAUCGAGAUAUUAUUCAACAAACAAUAAAGGAAUCCCUGACCCAAAAAAAGAUAAUGAAGGAAUUAAACAUGCUAAAAGACUGGCUGAAGGUGAUCCAUCAAAAUGUCCUUUUUUGAAAACAGUCAAUCCUAUGGUAUAACAACAUAUAUUGGUCCAGGUCUGAAGGCUCCAUAGUCUGACUGAAAUUAGAAAACGAAGUCAAGUUAAUAAUAGAAAUACCAAUCAAUAACAUUAGAAAGACUUACUUGUUGAAUCUUCUGAACAAGAUAAUAAAAGAUUUCUAUCUGGACUAAAAGAUAAAGAGUAUACAGGACCACUAUGACCAUGUAGAACUUUGAGAUCAGUUGCAGAUUUUUCGUUCAUCAUGCGAAUUAAAACAUCAUCAGCUUCCCUAUCGAUAAGUUCCAGCUCUUGAGCUGAUUUCAUAGUUUUCAGCUUAUUAGGAGUUAAUGACCAUACUUGAAUUGUUGAAUCCGAAAGACCCCGCGCAAACAACACUCUUUCAAAAAACCACCUGCAGAUGGCAGACCUUGUGAUGGAGGGAAUCAGAUGUUAUUUUGAAAAGUCGUUUACUUUGAAUUUGAAUUUGCAGCAUCAAAGUGUUUCAUUUUUCAUUGUUUUUUUUUAAAAUGUUUUUAAAUAAGUAUAGUUUUCAAUCAACUUUCAUCAAUUUUAAUGAUGAUGAAGAUGAAAGUGACUGGCAAUCAGUUAUGCAGAAAUGCCUUGGGGCCCGACACUUAGCCAUGCUGCCAAAAAUACCAGACAUCACCAUGUCAGACGCUGGAGAGCCUUCGGGCAUUUUUUCUUCCAUGGAGGACCCAGAAAUUGGACGUGACAUGCCGAAUUUUUCUCCACCCGUUCAUUCACCAGUGAUUUUGAAAACAAUUAUAGAGAGGUUGCCAACAUCACCACCACCACCACCAAGACCCUCUCAAUCACCACCACCACCACCAACACCCUCUCAAUCACCAUCACCACCACCACCAAGACCCUCUCAAUCACCAUCACCACCACCGCCAACACCCUCUCAAUCACCACCACCACCAACACCCUCACCUCAACCACUACCUCGUGGUGAUGAGCGACCCAAACGAUUUUUGAAAGGUGUAAGAAUUGCACGAUGGAGAGGACAGCAUCCUAUUUAUAAACCUCUGGAAAAUGGAUGUUUUGAAGUUUCAGGAGUAACUCACACGACGACUCCUGAUAUAAAGGAAAGAAAACUCACGAAAGGUAAAAAAGAGAGGCAGGUGACCAAAAAGGAAAAACGCGGUAAAUUAUCCGAAUCUUUUAUUGGUAAAAGUGUUUCAACUCGAAUUAAAAAUGCAGAUUUGUUAAAAUCAUUUGAAAAUCUUCAAUGGAAGAAAAGUAAAGGCAGUGAUUGCAUCGAACUUGCGUCACUUUUCCGAGACAAAACUAAUGGACUCGCUAGUGGUUUUUUCAGAAUGAAAGGUGUUUGUGAAAAACCAAACCAGAAAACAGCUAAUUAUAAAACUAUAUAUACAUUACUGAAAGGAUCGGUAGCCUUUAGAAUUGCUGAUGAGCCCUACAUGGUCUUGAACGAAUUUGAAUCAGUCACUAUCCCUGAGCUAACCGGCUAUGCUAUCAAAAACCUAUCAGAUGAUGAAUCUGUAUUAUAUUUCAAUGUAUACCAACAUUAAUUUCUUUAUUAUCAGUACCCAAUAAAUUCUUUUAAACACAA